UUGCCACCGUUACCCCAUAAAAGGUAUGCUGCACGCACGAUAAUGAUCUACUCUGCUUUUCUCCACGUGGACUGCUUCUAUGUUGCUCUCUUAGUGAUGUCUGCAUAACCUGUAAUCAAGAAUAAAACAUAAAAUCAUUACUGAUAAAGCUUGCAUAUGACGCAAAAUCUGGGGGAAGCAGUAAAUAAAGAAGAGGACAGAUCACUGAUACAGAGCAAUCUGGAUUGCUUGGGAAACAGGACACAAGCAAAGGUUAUGUUUUCUAAUACAACUAUAUGUAAGAUCAUACAUCCAGGAACAAAGAAUGUAGGCAACACCCUGCAGGAUGGGGGACUCUAUCCUACGAAGCAGGAACUCUGUAAAAAGACUUUGGGGUUAUGGUGAACAAUCAGCUGAACAUGAGCACCCAGUGCCACACUGUCACCCAAAGGGCUAAUAUGAACUUUAUAAAUAGGAAAUAUCAUGUAGGACUAGGAAGGUUAGACCCCCUAUUACAUGUGUUCAUUGAGUCUGUUCCGAUGUUGGACUCUCAGGCCGUCAAGCCUUUGUGAUUAUGCAGGAACUGACUAAAUGGCGAAUGAUCACUACGGCCGACUAUCUGGGUAAGCACUGAAAAAGAAGAAAAGAGGGCUGACAGUUCAUAACCACCAGAGACAAGAGGUCAUGACAGCAUUCUACAUGGCUAGAGACAGAUGAGGAUGGGCAGGCUGUGACCACCAGAUAGAAGAGGACCAGUAGAAAUUCCACACAGUUAGAAGUUUCCAAUCAGUACCAUGUCCUUAUUGUGGAAACUAUGGAAGAUACCUCUCAAAAUCGAGCUGUUCCAAGAGACUGGAGAGAUGUACCUAUGGAUGCAAGCUUGGCACAACCUGUAAGAAAAUCAGGUUUGCCCACAAAGAGUUGUCCAACUGAUCUAGGAAGAUAGAUGAUCCUUGCUGGUCAUUCAACACUCCAAAGAAUCAAAAGAACAUUCUGUAAGGGACAGGUGGACAACAAGAUGGUGAGCUGUCUUCCCAGAGCUAAGACACGAGACAUCACUCUAAGACUGGAUAGACUUCUGAAGUCGAUGAGCAAGCAUGCUUUGGUGAUGGUUCAAUAUUAGCAUUAAUGACACUGAGGCACAGGAUAUCUCACAGAUAAUAGGGAACUUCAAAGAAUGCAUAAGUGUGCUGAAGAAGAAGAAGAUUGUCCAAGAGAUCAUCUCUAACAUCAUUCCUGUCCCAAAACUGAAAGAAGACAGAAAGCAGAAAAUCUGGAGCGGGGAGCCUAUUCAGGAAGUAGUGAUUCUGAAAAAGAUUUUGCGGUCAUGGUGGAUAAUCCUCUGAACAUGAGCUCCUAUUGUGACAGAGCAAAUGCAUACAGAGGGGACUCUCAGACUGAGAUUGUCAAAGGAGCCUAGUGGGGACUGUGACACUCCAUACCUCCAAGGAGCACCCUGGAACACCCAUAUUCACCACUGUUGUAAGGACAUAAGAAUCGCCAUUAUUAAGACCAAAGGUACAUCUAGCCCAGUAUCCUGUCUUCCAACAGUGGCCAAUGCCAGGUGCCCCAGAGGGAAUGAACAGAACAGGUAAUCAUCAAGUGAUCCAUCCCCUGUCACCCAUUCCCAGCUUCUGGCAAAGAACAUAAUAUAAUUAUAAUAUGUUUUCUACAAAGUAUGCCUUAUUAGGUGUCAUUUUAAAAGUCUUGAUCUGUUAAACAUUAAUAUCCUGUUGGAUUGUAUGUGCUAUCAUUGUAUGUGAAGUUAUUAAGUCUUGCUAUGUGUGUAUUUUACUGUAAUAUGUUGUGAGAUUGGGAACAGGUACAUCAAUGGAGCAUCAACACCUAUCAACGAAAUAAUCUUCUAUCCUAGGAACUGCAUACAAUGGAGACUUCUCAGAGAGAACAUGUAGACAACAGACACUGUUUGACCAAUGGGUAAUGACUAACCCAUCUCACAGUAAAGAUCUUUCCAACAAGCUGGAAAAAACUAUAAAAGAGAGGAAGUAACAUCAUCACUUGGCCUCACUCCCCCCCACAACUCAACACCUGGAAACAUGUCUGGAGGACAAAGACUUUGAACUGGGGGAGGGUGGUCUGAGACAAUAACAGGUUCCAGUCUGUUUUUGAGGAUCUGUGAUCUGUUUGUACCAUCUAUCAGGGUGAGACACUCUUGAUUCAAAUCCUGUUUAGUUUGUAGAACUCAGACUAUGAAUUUAUUUUUGUUUCUUGAGUAACCAAAUCUGAUU